rnacentral:rRNA from 1 species
ACUCCUACGGGAGGCAGCAGUGGGGAAUAUUGCACAAUGGGCGCAAGCCUGAUGCAGCCAUGCCGCGUGAGUGAUGAAGGCCUUCGGGUUGUAAAGCUCUUUCAGAUGGGACGAUGAUGACGGUACCAUCAGAAGAAGCCCCGGCUAACUUCGUGCCAGCAGCCGCGGUAAU